AUACGGCGGAUCCGAGCGUUAUCCGGAUUUCUUGGGUUUAAAGGGUGCGCAGGCGGCCAUUUAAGUCAGCGGUUAAAUCGUGGGGCUCAACCCCAUUCUGCCGUUGAUACUGGGUGGCUUGAUUGCGGUCGAGGUUGGCGGAAUUCGUUGUGUAGCGGUGAAAUGCAUAGAUAUGACGAAGAACACCGAUUGCGUAGGCAGCUGACCAGACCGCAAAUGACGCUCAUGCACGAAAGUGCGGGGAUCGAACAGGAUUAGAUACCCUGGUAGUCCGCACAGUAAACGAUGAAUACUUGUUUUCGGCGAUAUAAUGUCGGAGGCAAAGCGAAAGCGAUAAGUAUUCCACCUGGGGAGUACGCCGGCAACGGUGAAACUCAAAGGAAUUGGCGGGG
rnacentral:rRNA from 1 species